CAGACAGCGGUUCUGAUAACCUUAAACACACACAACACGCUGCUCACAUCUUGCUUUCAGUGUGGAUUGAAUGGAACCGUGCUUCUAAUGUGUUUUAUCAAUAAGGGGCACAAGAACUUAGGAGUGACUGCUGCAUGCUCAAGUGAAUGGCUCUGGAGGAGAAGAAACAUGUAUCACUGGGGCAAAGACAGGUAAGCGUAAAACUAGUAGAGCAGAUUGAAUUGUAAGUUCUAACAUUUAUGCGUAGCAUAACUUAAAUUGAGGUAAACUAGCAAGAUGGGCUUGUUCACACAUGCUUGAUUCAGCCUUGAGGCCUACUUGUCUUGCUUGUGAAAGCAUUAGCAAGCUAACACGAGGUUAAAGUGGAGUUUUGGCUGAUUUGUUGGAGCAAUUAUCAAGACACGGUGGAUACUGGUUAAUUGUGAGGUGCAACACUUGUUGCAAACAGGCAUGCAAAAGCACAACAAAGUUGUGGAGUACAGUAAAACCUAAUGGAUCAGAAGCAACAACUGACAGAUGCACCAGCACCUGCAGCACAUGAUGACAGCCCAUGUACUGGAUACUCAUGCAUGGUGGUGUGACCCACCCCAAACAGCAUCCCCCGACUGAAACAUGUUCCCACGGCUGUCUGCUGGGCCAGGCCUGCUCAAUUGUGUAACCACCAUCACUGUAUAACUGGAUCCACUAGUUUCACAAAUGGAAAAUUAAUAAUCACAGAAAACUUUAAGCAAAUGUCAAGCGCUUUGUUGUGUUAGGUAUUUUUAGGCCCCUUGGGAAUCCUAUCCCCUGAUCUCCCUCACUGAGCCCGAUGA